rnacentral:rRNA from 1 species
AUGAAAACGGCAGGAGCUCUCCCCGGAAACCUUUUCCGCAAACCCUCCGUCCCCGCAGCCAUGGAGGACACCACCACGCCGCCGCCGCCGCCGCCACAGCAGCAACAGCCGGAGCAGCAGGCGCCCGAGCUCGCCGGGGAGAAGCGCAAGAGGGAGGAGGAAUCUCCGGCUGCGGCCUCCGGAGAGAAUCCAGCCAUGGAGGACACACCGCAGCCGCCACCGCAGCAGCAGCAAGAGGCGACCGAGCCCGCCGGGGAGAAGCGCAAAAGGGAGGAGGAGUCGCCGGAGGCAGCCCCCGGAGACGCCGCACCAGCAUCAGCAGCAGCCGCCCCCGCCACGACCGGCGAGGGCGAGCGGCACCCGAUGUCGAAGACGAGCCUGUGCUCCUUCUUCCGGCGGCGGGGGGGCGGCCCGGACGGGUGCAACCACGGGGAGGGGUGCCGGUACGCGCACACGGAGGAGGAGCUGCGGCCGCGGCCCGACGGCAGUUGGGACCCCACCUCCGACCGGGCCAAGAAGCUGCGCAGGGUCUCCGAGGAGGAUGGGGAGGGGGCGGCCGGGGAGGAGAGGAGGGACCGCUGGGGGCAGGAGGAGGUCACCUUCGACGAGACCUCGCUCGACAAGUGCCUCGUCGGGCUCUCCCGGCACUGGCUCACCGACAGGCUCAAGGCCUUCCUCGACGAGCAGGGAAUCUCGUAUGCUGUAGCAAAGAAGAAGAAAGGAAUGACCGUUGGUUUUGUGACGUUUGAAACUGUUGAACAACUGAGAAAUGCCGUGGAGGUCCUUAAGGAGAAUCGAUCUGGUGGAAAGCAAAUAAAGAUAGCAGAUGCCAAUCGCAGGUCUCAUCAGAAGUUGCAUGCAGAAGGACCGGUAUCUAAUAAUGGAGCAGCAACAGAAAACAGUAGUGACGCUGCUGCUCCUGCUGACGGAGCAUCCGGACCUGAAGCAGCAGGAGCUAGUAAAAGAACUGUGCGUGACGCAGUUACGCCCCUUGCGCAUAUGGCAUACAGUGAUCAGCUAGAGCACAAAAAAAGUUCAGUUGCACAGUUACUUAAGAAACUUACUCGGAAUGCUAAGAAAGCUUGCCCAGCUGAUGUUACAUUACCAGAUUGGAUUUCCAACGCAAAGCAAAUUGGUGGUCUUUCUUGCAAGCUUGAAGGCAUUCUGGAGUCCCCAGUGAUUGAUGGGUAUCGUAAUAAGUGUGAGUUCUCUGUGGGACAUUCCUUGGCGGGUAAAAAGACGGUAGGGUUUAUGCUUGGGAAUUUCAGGGAAGGUGUGACUGCUGUUGAGGAACCUGUGGACUGCCCAAAUGUUUCCGCAAUGUCCUGUAAAUAUGCUAUGAUAUUCCAAGAUUUUCUGCAGUUAUCAUGCUUACCCGCGUGGAACAGAGUUGAUAAUUCUGGGUUUUGGCGCCAAUUCACAGUUCGAGAGGGAAGAAGCCCAGCUCAAGCUGUUGUUGCGGAAGAUACACAAACACAAAUAUCAGAAGUCAUGAUUAUUAUCCAGGUAUGCUCAACAGGUGUUGAUGAGGUACUGAUGAAAGAUGAGUUUGCCAAAUUGUCCAAGACACUGGUGCAGGGAGCUGCAACAUGCUCACCUCCAUUGCCUCUAACAACUAUAGUAGUUCAAGAUCACGUAGGAAUAUCAAAUGUAGCACCAGCUGACUGUCCACUGAUCCCACUAUUGGCUCCAGAAGUGGACCAAUCAGAAGAGGGAGCAGUGGAUAAAACAAGAAUCCAUGACCACAUUAGCAAUCUUCGGUUCUCUCUAUCACCAACAGCAUUUUUUCAGGUUAAUACUCUUGCUGCAGAAAGAUUGUACACCCUUGCUGGUGAUUGGGCCAAUCUCAAUUCGGACACAUUACUUUUUGAUGUAUGCUGUGGGACUGGAACAAUUGGCCUGACAUUAGCACACCGUGUUGGAAUGGUUGUUGGAAUUGAAAUGAAUGAAUCAGCGGUUGUGGAUGCUCAGAGAAAUGCUCUUAUUAAUGGUAUAAAAAAUUGCCGUUUUGUCUGCGGCAAGGCUGAAGAUGUGAUGGGGUCUCUUCUCACAGAGUAUCUUGGUUCGCCACAGCAGCACAUUGCAGCUUCUGAAAGUAAUUCAGAAGUUAAUGCUACGGGGAAAAAGGAGGAUAUAGUUGGUGGUGCAGAGAAUAAUGGUAAAAGUAUGGAGAGCUUAACAGAGAAAAAUGACAGUGGUGAGAUAAAUGAGGACUUGGAUGAUGGGGUUAGCAAAGAGUUGGAAGGUGGACAUGAGCAAUCCAAUGAGGCUGUUCGUAACCAAAAUAGUGAGGAAGCAUCGUCAUUGGUCAAUGAGGAGUCCAUUGAUGCAAAAGCAACUGACUGUUCCGAGCACCGCAAAACACGCGAGGAAGGUUCUUCGAUUUCUAAAAAUGAUGUGCUUGCAGCUACUGCAUGUCAGUUCAAGAACUUUGUUGCUAUUGUAGAUCCUCCACGUGCUGGGCUUCACCCUACUGUGAUCAAGGUAUUGAGGACUCAUCCACGCAUCCGUCGUCUAGUGUACAUUUCCUGUAAUCCAGACACUCUAGUUGCCAACGCGAUCGAGCUCUGCACCCCAUCAACCGAGCAUAGGGAAAAGAACAAGGGCCACCGCGGAUGGCGAAACAUGAGCAGCGCCGGCCUCGCGAGGCAGAGGACCAAGUCGAUGCCCAACUCGGAGCCCUUUGUCCCCAAGAGGGCCAUGGCCGUCGAUCUGUUUCCCCACACCUCGCACUGCGAGAUGGUCAUGCUCUUCGAGAGGUGA